rnacentral:rRNA from 1 species
UCCUACGGGGGGCAGCAGUGAGGAAUAUUGGUCAACGGUCGGGAGACUGAACCAGCCAAGCCGCGUGAGGGAUGAAGGUACAGAGUAUCGUAAACCUCUUUUGUCAGGGAACAAAGGCGGGGACGUGUCCCCGGAUGAGUGUACCUGAAGAAAAAGCAUCGGCUAACUCCGUGCCAGCAGCCGCGGUAAUACGGAGGAUGCGAGCGUUAUCCGGAUUUAUUGGGUUUAAAGGGUGCGCAGGCGGUCUGUUAAGUCAGCGGUCAAAGCCCGGGGCUCAACCCCGGCCCGCCGUUGAAACUGGCAGU